rnacentral:rRNA from 1 species
UACGUAGGGUGCAAGCGUUAAUCGGAAUUACUGGGCGUAAAGCGUGCGCAGGCGAUGAUGUAAGACAGAUGUGAAAUCCCCGGGCUCAACCUGGGAACUGCAUUUGUGACUGCAUCGCUGGAGUGCGGCAGAGGGGGAUGGAAUUCCGCGUGUAGCAGUGAAAUGCGUAGAUAUGCGGAGGAACACCGAUGGCGAAGGCAAUCCCCUGGGCCUGCACUGACGCUCAUGCACGAAAGCGUGGGGAGCAAACAGG